rnacentral:rRNA from 1 species
CGACCGGCGCACGGGUGAGUAACGCGUAUCCAACCUGCCCUUCACCACGGGAUAACCCGGCGAAAGUCGGACUAAUACCGUAUGUUGUCCGUUGACGGCAUCCGAUUUGGACGAAAGGCUUGGCGGUGAGGGAUGGGGAUGCGUCCGAUUAGCCAGACGGCGGGGUAACGGCCCACCGUGGCUACGAUCGGUAGGGGUUCUGAGAGGAAGGUCCCCCACACUGGAACUGAGACACGGUCCAGACUCCUACGGGAGGCAGCAGUGAGGAAUAUUGGUCAAUGGGCGGAAGCCUGAACCAGCCAAGUAGGCGUGCAGGAUGACGGCCCUAUGGGUUGUAAACUGCUUUUAUGCGGGGAUAAAGGAGCCCACGUGUGGGCUUUUGCAGGUACCGCAUGAAUAAGGACCGGCUAAUUCCGUGCCAGCAGCCGCGGUAAUACGGAAGGUCCGGGCGUUAUCCGGAUUUAUUGGGUUUAAAGGGAGCGUAGGCCGCGCCUUAAGCGUGUUGUGAAAUCCGGGUGCUCAACAUCCGGCUUGCAGCGCGAACUGGGGCGCUUGAGUGCGCCGAAAGUAGGCGGAAUUCGUGGUGUAGCGGUGAAAUGCUUAGGAUAUCACGAGGAACUCCGAUUGCGAAGGCAGCCUACUGUAGCGCUACUGACGCUGAUGCUCGAAAGCGUGGGUAUCGAACAGGAUUAGAUACCCUGGUAGUCCACGCGGUAAACGAUGGAUGCUCGGUUGUCGGCCCUUCGGGUCGGUGACCAAGCGAAAGCGUUAAGCAUCCCACCUGGGGAGUACGCCGGCAACGGUGAAACUCAAAGGAAUUGACGGGGGGCCCGCACAAGCGAGGGAACAUGUGGGUUAAUUCGAUG